rnacentral:rRNA from 1 species
CUUAUUAUCAAUUAUCUCCCAACUUACACAUGCAAGUCUCAGCACCCCCGUGAGGAAGCCCUUAAACCCUACCCCAGGAUAAGGAGCUGGUAUCAGGCACUACUUUUGCCCAUAACACCUAGUUUCCACCACACCCCCAAGGGUCAUCAGCAGUGAUAAACAUUAUCUAUAAGCGAUAGCUUGACUUAGUCAGGGAGAAGAUAGUUGGCUAAUUCGGUGCCAGCCGCCGCGGUUAGACCCUGAACUAAAAUUGAUAGUCAUCGGCGUUAAGCGUGAUUAAAGCAAUGUAAUAUUAGAGUAAAACUCCCUGCCCAGCCGUGAAAAGCAUGCACUCCGGAACUCCAUGAACGAAA